GACGAACGUUGGCGGCGUGCUUAACACAUGCAAGUCGAACGGAAAGGCCCUGCUUUUGUGGGGUGCUCGAGUGGCGAACGGGUGAGUAACACGUGAGUAACCUGCCCUUGACUUUGGGAUAACUUCAGGAAACUGGGGCUAAUACCGGAUAGGAGCUCCUGCUGCAUGGUGGGGGUUGGAAAGUUUCGGCGGUUGGGGAUGGACUCGCGGCUUAUCAGCUUGUUGGUGGGGUAGUGGCUUACCAAGGCUUUGACGGGUAGCCGGCCUGAGAGGGUGACCGGCCACAUUGGGACUGAGAUACGGCCCAGACUCCUACGGGAGGCAGCAGUGGGGAAUAUUGCACAAUGGGCGGAAGCCUGAUGCAGCAACGCCGCGUGCGGGAUGACGGCCUUCAGGUUGUAAACCGCUUUCGCCUGUGACGAAGCGUGAGUGACGGUAAUGGGUAAAGAAGCACCGGCUAACUACGUG
rnacentral:rRNA from 1 species